AGCGAACGCUGGCGGCAGGCCUAACACAUGCAAGUCGAGCGCCGUAGCAAUACGGAGCGGCAGACGGGAGAGUAACACGUGGGAACGUACCCUUUGGUUCGGAACAACCCAGGGAAACUUGGGCUAAUACCGGAUAAGCCCUUACGGGGAAAGAUUUAUCGCCGAAGGAUCGGCCCGCGUCUGAUUAGCUAGUUGGUGGGGUAAUGGCCCACCAAGGCGACGAUCAGUAGCUGGUCUGAGAGGAUGAUCAGCCUCACUGGGACUGAGACACGGCCCAGACUCCUACGGGAGGCAGCAGUGGGGAAUAUUGGACAAUGGGCGCAAGCCUGAUCCAGCCAUGCCGCGUGGGUGAUGAAGGCCCUAGGGUUGUGAAGCCCUUUCGGCGGGGAAGAUAAUGACGGUACCCGCAGAAGAAGCCCCGGCUAACUUCGUGCCAGCCGCCGCGGUAAAAC
rnacentral:rRNA from 1 species